GGACCCCUAGCUCAGUGGUAGAGCAUAUGAUUCCAGUGCUGCCGUCUGUCCAGCCUGCGUCUGCAUCCAUAAGGUCGUCCGUUCAAUCCGGGCGGGGUUCA